rnacentral:lncRNA from 1 species
UUCAAUUGUGAUUUUAAAUUAUGCUUUAAAAUCCGAUGAUAUUCAAUUGAGAUUGUUUAAAAUCCAUUAAAAUCUGAUGGUAUUCAAAUGCUGAUGGAUUUUUUUGCUUUUCAUAAAAUGACGGAUUUUGUGGCAUUCUUCAGUGUAUUUUAAGUUUUCUGAAAUCCCAUCAAAAUCAAUGGGAUUUUGAAACAUUGUGCUUAAAUCCUAUCAACUCUGCGACAUUUUAUCAAGAAUCCGCACAAAAUCAAAAUCA